CAGUAGCCACGGUAAUACGGAGGGAGCUAGCGUUGUUCGGAAUCACUGGGCGUAAAGCGCACGUAGGCGGCUAUUCAAGUCAGGGGUGAAAGCCCGGGGCUCAACCCCGGAACUGCCUUUGAAACUAGAUAGCUUGAAUCUUGGAGAGGCGAGUGGAAUUCCGAGUGUAGAGGUGAAAUUCGUAGAUAUUCGGAAGAACACCAGUGGCGAAGGCGACUCGCUGGACAAGUAUUGACGCUGAGGUGCGAAAGCGUGGGGAGCAAACAGGAUUAGAUACCCCUGUAGUCCCUGUCUCUUAUAC
rnacentral:rRNA from 1 species